rnacentral:rRNA from 1 species
UACGUAGGGUGCGAGCGUUAAUCGGAAUUACUGGGCGUAAAGCGUGCGCAGGCGGUUUUGUAAGCCAGGUGUGAAAGCCCCGGGCUUAACCUGGGAAUGGCAUUUGGGACUGCAAGGCUUGAGUGCGGCAGAGGAGACUGGAAUUCCUGGUGUAGCAGUGAAAUGCGUAGAUAUCAGGAGGAACACCGAUGGCGAAGGCAGGUCUCUGGGCUGACGCUGACGCUCAUGCACGAAAGCGUGGGGAGCAAACAGG